rnacentral:lncRNA from 1 species
UAGCAUCUCCACAGCUCCUGGCCACCAGGAGGCACAGGGUUCUGCUUUGGAUCUCAGGAGACUCCCUUCCCCGCAACCUCCCUGUGUCUCGAUUCCUGUCUCUACGGAGCAGGCACUGCUGUCCUAUGCUUUGCCUUUCCUUUCCGGGUUUAAACACUGGCAAGGCAUAGAGUGGGACUAGGAGAGGAGAACAGGCUCCUCCCCUCUGGAAGUAUCCACCAAACACCACUCAGAGAGGCUCUGAGCACAGGGGCCUUCCCUGCAGCAAACCGAAACUGAAACAAAACACCCCAGAAACCCAUGCAAGCCCUGGGAGGCUGUGGGCUGAUGGAUGUCCUGGGCUCGAGUCCCAGCCCUGGCCCUGUUGGGGGCCGAACAAGCCUGGACUGACAGGCUUGGGCUCUCCUCUCUUCACCUGCCAUGACUCCUGCUGCCAGGGACACCAAGACUGGACUCUUGCUAUCGGAUUAUCAAUGAAUCAACCGCCAACUAUUUCGGGAGCAUCAACGGCCCCUGGUUGAGACCAUCUGACUCUCCACCCUCUGUCUCAAAGCAUCAGACACACAACCACAGACACCGUCCCCAGCAUUCCUGUCUGCUUCAGGAGUCAUGUGAAGAAAUGAGCCAUAGAGAAGGACUUGCCCAAGAUCACACAGCAGGCAGAGCCGGGACAUGAAACUAAGCAUUCUGGCUCCAGAGUCCACGUUUUUAACUCAACGGAAUACUCAGCAAUGGCUGAGUCUACGCCCUGUCGUCCCCUCCUGGGUCUCACAGAAUGGAAAUAAAUGUCUCAACUCAAAGACCAACUUCUCCCCUUCUUUCUUAAUCUAU